rnacentral:rRNA from 1 species
UGUUUACCAAAAACAUGGGUCUUUGUGAAGUCGUAAGAUCAUGUAUGAGGGCU